rnacentral:rRNA from 1 species
GACGAACGCUGGCGGCGUGCUUAACACAUGCAAGUCGAACGGAAAGGCCCUGCUUUUGUUGGGUGCUCGAGUGGCGAACGGGUGAGUAACACGUGAGUAACCUGCCCUUGACUUUGGGAUAACUUCAGGAAACUGGGGCUAAUACCGGAUAGGAGCUCUUGCUGCAUGGUGGGGGUUGGAAAGUUUCGGCGGUUGGGGAUGGACUCGCGGCUUAUCAGCUUGUUGGUGGGGUAGUGGCGUUCCAAGGCUUUGACGGGUAGCCGGCCUGAGAGGGUGACCGGCCACAUUGGGACUGAGAUACGGCCCAGACUCCUACGGGAGGCAGCAGUGGGGAAUAUUGCACAAUGGGCGGAAGCCUGAUGCAGCAAUGCCGCGUGCGGGAUGCCGUCCUUCGGGUUGUAAACCGCUUUCGCCUGUGACGAAGCGUGAGUGACGGUAAUGGGUAAAGAAGCACCGGCUAACUACGUG